rnacentral:rRNA from 1 species
CCUACGGGGGGCUGCAGUAGGGAAUAUUGGGCAAUGGGCGAAAGCCUGACCCAGCCAUGCCGCGUGAAUGAUGAAGGCCUUCGGGUCGUAAAAUUCUUUUCUGAGAGAAGAACGGCCGAGAGAGGAAAUGCUCUUGGUGUGACGGUAUCUCAGGAAUAAGCAACGGCUAACUCCGUGCCAGCAGCCGCGGUAAUACGGAGGUUGCAAGCGUUGUUCGGAAUAACUGGGCGUAAAGGGGGCGCAGGCGGCUGAAAUCCCGGGGCUCAACCCCGGAACCGCUUUGGAUACUGUCAGGCUUGAGUACGUGAGAGGAGAGUGGAAUUCCAGGUGUAGCGGUGAAAUGCGUAGAUAUCUGGAGGAACACCGGUGGCGAAAGCGGCUCUCUGGCACGUUACUGACGCUCAGGCCCGAAAGCAUGGGGAGCAAACGGGAUUAGAUACCCGGGUAGUC